UGGGGAAUAUUGCACAAUGGGCGAAAGCCUGAUGCAGCAACGCCGCGUGAGGGACGACGGCCUUCGGGUUGUAAACCUCUUUUGGCAAGGAAGAAGCGAAAGUGACGGUACUUGCAGAAAAAGCGCCGGCUAACUACGUGCCAGCAGCCGCGGUAAUACGUAGGGCGCAAGCGUUAUCCGGAAUUAUUGGGCGUAAAGAGCUCGUAGGCGGUUUGUCGCGUCUGCUGUGAAAACCCGAGGCUCAACCUCGGGCCUGCAGUGGGUACGGGCAGACUAGAGUGCGGUAGGGGAGAUUGGAACUCCUGGUGUAGCGGUGGAAUGCGCAGAUAUCAGGAAGAACACCGAUGGCGAAGGCAGAUCUCUGGGCCGUAACUGACGCUGAGGAGCGAAAGGGGUGGGGGAGCAAACAGGCUUAGAUACCCUGGUAGUCCACCCCGUAAACGUUGGGAACUAGUUGUGGGGUCCAUUCCACGGAUUCCGUGACGCAGCUAACGCAUUAAGUUCCCCGCCUGGGGAGUACGGCCGCAAGGCUAAACU
rnacentral:rRNA from 1 species